rnacentral:lncRNA from 1 species
GUGUAAUCGGGAUUGUGAUUAAAUUACUCUACUGUUACUCCUAUUGAAAAAUUAGAGGCCUACUAGGGAACUAAAAGCAAGUAAUUUAAAGAUAAAAAGAUAAAGAUAAACUAAUUUCAUUGACAAAUGACUUUUUUUUGUUCAGAUUAUAUUCCAUUAUUUAUCAUAAAAAAUAUAAUUGAGUUCCCAUAAUCAUCCAUAUUGGCUUGUCACAAUCUUUAGUAAUUCUAAUAGUUCACCGCAUAGUUUCGUGAACUUUGCAUUAUAGCACUACCACAGGCC